GUCUUUUAUAAACCAAUAAAAAUUAACCCCCCUAUGAAAAGGUAGGGAUACUAUUAUAGGACAAAAAGACCCUAUUGAACUUUAUUUAAAUAAAUUUAUACUACAAAAAGCCUAAAUUUAUUAUAAUUUAGUUGGGGCGACUAAGGAAUAAAUAAAUCUUCCUUUAACAGUAUAGGCCAAUAAGCCUAAUAUAUGACCCCCCUAUGUGAUCAUAAAACUAGUUACCUUAGGGAUAACAGACUAAUUCCCCUUAAGAGCCCAUAUUGACAGGGGAGUUUGGCACCUCGAUGUUGGCUUAGGUACCCCUAUAAGUGUAGCCGCUUUUAAUGGUAGGCUUGUUCCGCCUAUAAUUACCU
rnacentral:rRNA from 1 species